GAAACUAAUCAAGGAGAGAAGCAACCUAGAACUAAGGAGAAAUAUCCUAACAGUAAGGACAACCUGUCUCCAGAAUUUGUGAACGCUCCAACACUGGAAGUUUUUAAGAACAGAUUGGACAACUAUUCGUCUGAAACGAUAUAAGGCUUCCUGCCUGAGGAGGGGGUGAGACUAGAAGACCUCCAAGUAUUUGAGUUGCACUACCAACAUCAAACCACAAGAUGGCAAUAGUUUCUCAAAAGGGGGAAAUUAAACAAGAGGUGAUGAAGUUGCCUCUCAGUGAUUCUUCGUUUUGGAAUUAAACCAAAGCAACUCACAAAAGUGUCAAAUGUUGUAAAAUUCUGAUGUUGCUGUGCUAACAAUAAAAUCUACUUAAAAAAAAAUACAAA